GCCACCAACUUACCAAUGUUGGAGGGUCUGGUUCGGUAGAAACUGUUCCUGCAGUACUUGCAGUCCGAUCGGUUGUCGUGGGAACAUACGACUUUUCAUUUCAGCCAGUGAAGAGUUAGAUUUAUGUUAAUCACUUAAUUGUUUCAUGAUGAUGUUGAUUGCUGGAUGCUAUACCCUUCAGAUCCCUACGAUGAGAUGAAGAAACAGAAAGAGAGAAACCGUGAA